rnacentral:rRNA from 1 species
UACAGAGGUGCCAAGCGUUAGGCGGAAUCACUGGGCGUAAAGGGUGCGUAGGCGGGUCUUUAAGUCAGGGGUGAAAUCCUGGAGCUCAACUCCAGAACUGCCUUUGAUACUGAAGAUCUUGAGUUCGGGAGAGGUGAGUGGAACUGCGAGUGUAGAGGUGAAAUUCGUAGAUAUUCGCAAGAACACCAGUGGCGAAGGCGGCUCACUGGUCCUUUUCUGACGCUGAGGCGCGAAAGCCAGGGGAGCAAACGGG